rnacentral:rRNA from 1 species
UGCAUAUCAAAAGCGGAGGAAAAGAAACCAACAGGGAUUGCCUUAGUAGCGGCGAGUGAAGCGGCAAAAGCUCAAAUUUGAAAUCUGGCUCUUUCAGAGUCCGAGUUGUAAUUUGAAGAAGGUAUCUUUGGGUCUGGCUCUUGUCUAUGUUUCUUGGAACAGAACGUCACAGAGGGUGAGAAUCCCGUGCGAUGAGAUGAUCCAGGCCUAUGUAAAGUUCCUUCGAAGAGUCGAGUUGUUUGGGAAUGCAGCUCUAAGUGGGUGGUAAAUUCCAUCUAAAGCUAAAUAUUGGCGAGAGACCGAUAGCGAACAAGUACAGUGAUGGAAAGAUGAAAAGAACUUUGAAAAGAGAGUGAAAAAGUACGUGAAAUUGUUGAAAGGGAAGGGCUUGAGAUCAGACUUGGUAUUUUGUAUGUUACUUCUUCGGGGGUGGCCUCUACAGUUUAUCGGGCCAGCAUCAGUUUGGGCGGUAGGAGAAUUGCGUUGGAAUGUGGCACGGCUUCGGUUGUGUGUUAUAGCCUUCGUCGAUACUGCCAGCCUAGACUGAGGACUGCGGUUUAUACCUAGGAUGUUGGCAUAAUGAUCUUAAGUCGCCCGUCUUGAAACCACGGACCA